UACGUAGGGUGCAAGCGUUACUCGGAAUUACUGGGCGUAAAGCGCACGUAGGCGGCUUUGUAAGUUAGAGGUGAAAGCCCGGGGCUCAACUCCGGAAUUGCCUUUAAGACUGCAUCGCUAGAAUUGUGGAGAGGUAAGUGGAAUUCCGAGUGUAGAGGUGAAAUUCGUAGAUAUUCGGAAGAACACCAGUGGCGAAGGCGACUUACUGGACACAUAUUGACGCUGAGGUGCGAAAGCGUGGGGAGCAAACAGG
rnacentral:rRNA from 1 species